UUGGUCUUUAGUCAAGGCCAAGAGUUUACAGAAGCUUUUGGUUUUAAGCAGGAGUCUAAAGAAAUGUCUUUAUAUGGUCUGUUGGCCAUUUCAGAACUGCAGAGAUAUAAUGGUCAUUCGUUAGAAACAUCU